UACGUAGGGCGCAAGCGUUGUCCGGAAUUAUUGGGCGUAAAGAGCUCGUAGGCGGUCUGUUACGUCCGCUGUGAAAACCCAGGGCUUAACCCUGGGCUUGCAGUGGAUACGGGCAGACUAGAGGCAGGUAGGGGAGAAUGGAAUUCCCGGUGUAGCGGUGAAAUGCGCAGAUAUCGGGAGGAACACCGGUGGCGAAGGCGGUUCUCUGGGCCUGGCCUGACGCUGAGGAGCGAAAGCGUGGGGAGCGAACAGG
rnacentral:rRNA from 1 species